CUGUCCUUAAUCAGCAUUGAAGACCUUUAGGGGACCAAGUAGACACGCUGUUAACAUUUCAGGGAUCUGCUAGCCAAGUGCUGAGGGCCAGUGACAUCAGAGAGGAGAUGGAAAACCACCAAAGAACGUUUUUCUAAUACUAUAGGAUUGCUCUCUCAGAAGUGGCAUGAAUUUGUUUCGACUUUUGUCACGUGAGACCUCCAACAGGUGCUCAUGGCAAAGGUAAUAUGGAACGUGGCCUUGGAAAAUACCAGAAGUCAGCGUGGCUUCAGUAGCAGUGAUACUGUAUUCUUUUGACUCUGCAUUUGAGAGUUUCCCUAAUGGGAUCCCAUACAGAAACAUAACGCAGAAUUCAGGAUCAUGGUGUGGGAAGUCGGGAGCAAUGGACAGUAUUCACACAGGCUACAGGACUGAUAAAUAUGACAGUGAAGCAAUCUUGGUUACUUGGCCCAUUUAUCUCCAGAGAUUUCGCUCCCUGCUAAUCUUGUAAAAAAGUAAUUAAUUUUCAUCAGAGCAGAGAAUGAAAGUUGAGUCAUUGACUAUCAGUUGAAGUCAACUUCACAACGUUUAGCCUUGCAGAGUGGAUUCUGAAAGUCCUUAGUAAACAUCUCAGCUCCCAAUGAAAGAACCUUUUCAUUCCCAGUUCACAUCCUGAAGCAAUGGCAAACAGCUUGCGCAAAGACCUUGCAACCAGUACCUUCAGGUGAAAUGUUGGAAGAAGAAGAAACCCCUUGAUGCACCAAGUCAACUUUAUAAAGAUUGCUAGUAUGUUAAGAGACUCUUUGUCACCGUUUCACUUUCUCAAAAAUAAUUGUGCUCUUGCCACCCCGGAAGACUUGAAGACGCAUAAUCCAGGCAAGGAGCUUACUACCACUGGUGUUUUGCACAGGUUCCGGCUCAGAGACCUGUCCUCAAAGCCGUGUUUUGAGCGUAGGUGGCUGAGCGUAAUUGGCCCUUUACCUUUUCAGGUCAGAAGCAUAAUGGAUCAUGAGAGUAUAUUGUGAACAGAGUAAAAGAGAGGGGAAAGAGGCCUAAAGAAAGGACCAAAAUCUGGCCUCUGGGGACAAUGACAACACAAUGAGGCUUCAUCCCUCGAAGACUGGGCAUGGCACCUUGUCACUCUGUAGAGUUGAGCCAGAGCCAUUAUAACAAGACAUUUUCUUCCACUAAUGUUUCCUUCCAUAUGUCAGAUGCUAGAAAAUAACUGACAUGUGGACUUUACAACACAGAAGACACUGUUUUCACAUAUACUUGCCCUGAAUCUUGCAACUAGUGUGAGGCAGGGGCCAUUGCCAUCCUGGACAUGUUUGCACAGGAGAGAUUGGUCAAGGCUGUUCUGUUGUUAAGUCAGGGCACAUGGCUGGAGAGUGGAAGAGCAUACACCAGAGUCUGUGUCCUCUGAUGCCAAUCCCAGAUAUCCUGUCAGUUGUUUGCUUUCACAUUCUAUCGCCCUGGAGGAAUAGGUUCACCUUUAGAACUGAUGACAGCAACCACAUGCCAAGUAGCAAGUGUUAGCAUGAUGGUCAAGCGAGAAGAUUCCGGGAUCAAAGUGCUGGAGGCCCAAUCCAAGUCCCACCACUCACGGCUGUGUGAUCUGGGGCGGUAUUCUUAACCUCUUUGUUAAUAGUGUUAUCUAUUUCAUAGGGUUGCAGUGGGAGUCUAUGGGUUUCCAAGCAUAAAGCACUCAGAAUCCCGGUUGGCACCUUUUAGAGGCUGCAUAUUAGCGCUCUCCAUAGCAGCAAACGCCAUUGUUACCAUAAUUGAUACUUAUUAUUAUAGUAAGGGAAAGCAUUUAUUACAUUUCUUCCAUCUCUGUGGGAAUAAAAAUUAGGUCCGAAUGACAUGCUUUUAUGUUGAUUUGAAUCCUGCCAGGAGUACAUUAGGCAUUGGAGAGCUGCAAUGGCCUAAUAAAUUCUUGUUUCCAUUCCCAGCCAAUAUUUUAAGAACCAGGAAAUGAGUGUUCAUUUCCUAGGAUGUCUUAUUUACAUCUCUCAACCCCAUAUCUAGGGAUGAUUGGACUCAUUCACACUAUUUCGAGUUCUAUACUCCUUGGGAAGGCUGGUAGGAGAUGUGAUUACUUCGUUCUACUGGUAAUUCUUUCUGUAUUUAUCUUCUGCGCUUCUCAGGGUUCGGUUCUUGGGUGUCUUUUCUUUAGCUACACCUACCUCCUUGUAGUUCUCAUGUAGUCACAUGACUUUCAAAGCCAACGCUAUGUUAAUAAUCCCAAAUUUAUAUCCAGGCCAGAUUUUUCUUCUGAACUCCAGACGUGUAUGUCCACCUGCCUGCUCCACAUCACCUCUUGGAAGUCCAACGGAUGUCUUGAACUACGCGUAAACAAAACCACUCCCAAUCGUCCCUUCAAAACCUUGUACAGCUUCUCCCAUUUUAGAUGGUAACAUGUCCAUUCUUCCGAUUGUUCAGGCCUCAGAUUCUGGAGUCACUCAUGACUCCCCUCUUUCAUACAUACAUCCAGUGUAUUAAGAAAUCCUAUUGACUCUCCUCGGAAUCUGUCUGGAAUCUGACUACUUCGCAGCAUCUCCUUUACCACCACUCUGGGCUGCAUCAGCAUCGUCUUAGGUGGCUUAUUGCAAUACCCUGCUAAUCGGUCUCUAUGACUCGACCCUUAUUUCCUGUAGCUUAUUUUCCAUAGAGCAAGUGGAAUGAUGUUUUAAGGUAUGUCGUAUCAUGUCACUCUUCUACCCCAAACCUUGAAAUGCCUUAGCAAUUCUAUGUGAUCUGACCACCUAUCACUCCUCCCAUCUUCUUUCCCACUCUUCUCCUUGUUCGUCUCUGUGUUUCCUUACAGUUCCUUAGCUGCCCCAGGUGUCCCCAUGCUUCCUGGACCUUCGCCGUCCCGGUUCUGCAGCAUGAUGCACUCCUGCCCUGGGUGACUGCUCGGCUGACUCUCUCACUUCUAUUUACAGGUGAAUUAUCGUCACCCCAUCCAAAUUACAGGCUCUUUGGGAAUAAAGGCUAUGUUACCAUCACCAUGAACAGGGCACCAGCCACUCUAGAUGCCGCCAUUGCUAAGAUGUUGUCUUCAGUGGAGCAACGACCCAGUUAAACGAUACAGCAGCUACCACGUGUGAGUUGCCUGUAGUGGGCACCACGUGCUUGACGCAUGUUGGAGCUGUCACUCUUCAAAAUAGUGAGGGAGAGAUAUUUUAAAAAGAAGUGAAAGAUACAGCGGAAGCCCCCAUCCCUCCAUGAAUCUGCUGUCCUGCCCACCCAUCUUCUUCAAAGUUACUCAGAGGUCCUUUGCAUUGCCAUUUAUAUUGGAUCACCUUGCCCAUUUUUUCCAAACAAACAAACAAACAUAAAGACUACAGGAAUUUUAAUGGAGAUUGGAUUAAAUAUAAACAUCGAUUUGGGGAGAAGAGACAUCUUAAAAAAUUAAGUCGUAUGAUCUAUGAAUGCAGAAUAGCUUUCCAUUUUGUUAGAGAUCUACUUUAAUUUCUCUCAGCAAUCUUUUAUAGGUUGCUUUGUACAGGUUUUUCAUGUCUUUUGUUAGAUUAUUUCUUAGUAUUUCUUUUGGAUGCUACUGUGAAUAAAACUGGUUCCUUAAUUUAAAAUUUUGAUUGUUGCUGUAUUAAGAAAAAUAAUUGGCCUUCAAAUUUUGAUUUUGUACCCUAUGACCUUUCAAACUUGUUUAUUAAUUAUAGAUUAUUGUUUUGUUUUGCUUUGGCUUUUGCAGCUUCCUUAAGAUUUUCUAUACAUAGAAUCAUGUUGUUUGCAUAUGAUGAGCUUUAUUUCUUUUUUCCAAUAUAUGCUUUUAAUUUAUUUUUAUGGCCUGAUUAUACUGUCUAGAAUAUCUAGCACAGGAUUGAAUAGAAGUCAUGAUAAUAAAUAUUUUGGCCUUGUUCCUGAUUUAAGUGUGAGAUUACUUAAGCUUUUACUCUUAAGCAUGAUGUGAAUUUUAGGUUUUUCUCAAUGCCCUUUUUGAGCUAGAGGAAAUUCUCUUCUAUUCCAAGUUUAUUGAAAUAUUUUUUUCAAAAUAAAUGGA